rnacentral:tRNA from 1 species
ACCUCAUUGGCUCAGGGGUAUAGCGUUUUUCUAGUAAAUAGAAGGCCUCUGGUUCAGUUCCCGCAUGAGGCA